GACCUGGGUCGCGCACUCACGGCCACUCGGCGCCCACCGUGAACCCUCCGAUCGCAACAUCCUCAUCGCUCGCUGUCACGCCCGGUAACAGCCAAUUUGGUAGGUUCGGGCACGUCAACAGACGCUGAACGGACAACACCUCCCAUGUCCGCCCAAGGCUUCACCAAUACAUGUAUAGCAUAGCAAUUCAAAUAAGGAGAAUACAAGUAUACACGGCUUGCACGAGGGCAAGCAACAACCAACACAAGUGAAAAUAAUCUAACUAUUACAUUCAUACAUUGUAACUUGAUCUUAUGAAUCAAAUACAAAGCUUAUACAAUUCUUUACAUUCAUUCAUCCAAUAUACAUAUCCAUCUCCCAAAAGAAUUUAUUAUAUUUUUUAUUCAUCAAUAUAAUA
rnacentral:lncRNA from 1 species